AACGGUCUAUACCUGCGGUACCUGCGGAGGGAUCAUUAACAAAUUCCGAAUUCAUUUGGCGUGUUUGAGUUUCAUUCUUUUCUUUCUUUUUUUCCUUUCAUUCAAGGGAUGAAUGAGAAGAAUGAAUGAACGAAUGAAACUCGUCUAAAAAAACACACAAUACAACAAAAUAAUGACAUUUUGACAAAUAAGAAAGAAUGAAAAGAGGAGAAAUUGAAUGGAAGAAUUCGUUCAAUUUCU
rnacentral:misc_RNA from 1 species